UAGCUCAGUUGGUUAAGAGUGUGGUGCUAAUAAUGCCAAGGUCGUGGGUUCAAUCCCCGU
rnacentral:tRNA from 1 species